rnacentral:misc_RNA from 1 species
CAAAACCACAGAGGAAAGAUUCUCACAAAUCACAACUUUUCUUUUUCUUUUACCCACUUCAGAAGUUGCAGGUCUUAUUUGCCUUCUGUGGCCAACUGUUGACCUGUGAUUAAGGAACAAUACAUGCAUGUAUCAGGAUCUAUAUCAAUUAAUGAAUGCUUCUAUAAAUUGAUCCCUUCUGCUUCAAAAGAUUCAUAACAGAAGACCAGAUUUCAA